rnacentral:misc_RNA from 1 species
GAUGAAGAACGCAGCGAAAUGCGAUAAGUAUUGUGAAUUGCAGAAUUCAGUGAAUCAUCGAAUCUUUGAACGCACAUUGCGCCCCUUGGUAUUCCGAGGGGCAUGCCUGUUCGAGCGUCAUAUUAACCACUCCCGCUUGCGGGGUCUUGGGCUUCGCCUCCGGGCGGGCCUUAAAAUCAGUGGCGGUGCCGUCGGGCUCUACGCGUAGUAAAUUUUCUCGCGAUAGGGUCCCGGUGGAUGCUUGCCAACAACCCCCAACUUCUUAAGGUUGACCUCGGAUCAGGUAGGGAUACCCGCUGAACUUAAGCAUAUCAAUAAGCGGAGGA